ACUCUCGGCAACGGAUAUCUUGGCUCUCGCAUCGAUGAAGAACGUAGCAAAAUGCGAUAGCUGGUGUGAAUUGCAGAAUCCCGUGAACCAUCGAGUCUUUGAACGCAAGUUGCGCCUGAAGCCGUCAGGCCAAGGGCACGCCUGCCUGGGUGUCA
rnacentral:rRNA from 16 species